UGGCCAGACUCCUACGGGAGGCAGCAGUGGGGGAUAUUGGACAAUGGGGGGAACCCUGAUCCAGCGAUGCCGCGUGAGGGAAGAAGGUUUUCGGAUUGUAGACCUCUGUGGACAGGGACGAUAAUGACGGUACCUGUCAAGAAAGCCACGGCUAACUACGUGCCAGCAGCCGCGGCAAUACGUAGGUGGCGAGCGUUGUCCGGAAUUACUGGGUGUAAAGGGAGUGUAGGCGGGAGUGCAAGUCAGAUGUGAAAACUAUGGGCUCAACCCAUAGCCUGCAUUUGAAACUGUACUUCUUGAGUGCUGGAGAGGCAAUCGGAAUUCCGUGUGUAGCGGUGAAAUGCGUAGAUAUACGGAGGAACACCAGUGGCGAAGGCGGAUUGCUGGACAGUAACUGACGCUGAGGCGCGAAAGCGUGGGGAGCAAACAGGAUUAGAUACCCCGGUAC
rnacentral:rRNA from 1 species